ACGUAAACAACCUGCCUUCAGGAUGGGGACAACAGACGGAAACGACUGCUAAUACCGAAUAAGUUCCAAGAGCCGCAUGGCCCAUGGAAGAAAAGGUGGCCUCUACCUGUAAGCUNUCGCCUGAAGAGGGGUUUGCGUCUGAUUAGCUGGUUGGAGGGGUAACGGCCCACCAAGGCGACGAUCAGUAGCCGGUCUGAGAGGAUGAACGGCCACACUGGAACUGAGACACGGUCCAGACUCCUACGGGAGGCAGCAUG
rnacentral:rRNA from 1 species